GACGAACCGAGCGAACGUUGUUCGGAAUCACUGGGCUUAAAGGGCGCGUAGCGGGCUGUCAAGUCUGGGGUGAAAUCCCGCGGCUCAACCGUGGAACUGCCUUAGAUACUGACGGCCUCGAGGGAGGUAGGGGCGAGCGGAACUGUGAGUGGAGCGGUGAAAUGCGUUGAUAUUCACAGGAACUCCGGUGGCGAAGGCGGCUCGCUGGACAGGAAGGCUCGCAAGAGCCGGCUGACGCUGAGGCGCGACAGCGUGGGGAGCAAACAGG
rnacentral:rRNA from 1 species